AGUGGGAUAGCUGGGUAAAAUGGUGGUUCCAUUGAAAAUUUUCUGAGGAAUCUCUAUCUACUUUCCAUAGUGUUUUUACCAAUUUGCAGUCCCACUAGCAAU
rnacentral:pre_miRNA from 1 species